rnacentral:rRNA from 1 species
CCUACGGGAUGCAGCAGUGGGGAAUAUUGGACAAUGGGCGAAAGCCUGAUCCAGCCAUGCCGCGUGUGUGAAGAAGGCCUUCGGGUUGUAAAGCACUUUCAGUGGGGAAGAAAGCCUUGGGGCUAAUACCCUCGAGGAAGGACAUCACCCACAGAAGAAGCACCGGCUAACUCCGUGCCAGCAGCCGCGGUAAUACGGAGGGUGCGAGCGUUAAUCGGAAUUACUGGGCGUAAAGCGCGCGUAGGCGGUCUGAUAAGCCGGUUGUGAAAGCCCCGGGCUCAACCUGGGAACGGCAUCCGGAACUGUCAGGCUAGAGUGCAGGAGAGGAAGGUAGAAUUCCCGGUGUAGCGGUGAAAUGCGUAGAGAUCGGGAGGAAUACCAGGGGCGAAGGCGGCCUUCUGGACUGACACUGACGCUGAGGUGCGAAAGCGUGGGUAGCAAACAGGAUUAGAUACCCUAGUAGUC